AUUGAACGCUGGCGGCAUGCCUUACACAUGCAAGUCGAACGGCAGCACGGGAGCAAUCCUGGUGGCGAGUGGCGAACGGGUGAGUAAAGUAUCGGAACGUGCCCAGUCGUGGGGGAUGACGUAGCGAAAGUUACGCUAAUACCGCAUACGAUCUAUGGAUGAAAGCGGGGGAUGGCAAGACCUCGCGCGAUUGGAGCGGGCGAUAUCAGAUUAGGUAGUUGGUGGGGUAAAGGCUCACCAAGCCGACGAUCUGUAGCUGGUCUGAGAGGAAGACCAGCCACACUGGGACUGAGACACGGCCCAGACUCCUACGGGAGGCAGCAGUGGGGAAUUUUGGACAAUGGGCGCAAGCCUGAUCCAGCCAUGCCGCGUGCAGGAUGAAGGCCUUCGGGUUGUAAACUGCUUUUGUACGGAACGAAAAGGUUUGGCCUAAUAAGCUGAGCUCAUGACGGUACCGUAAGAAUAAGCACCGGCUAACUACGUGCCAGCCGCCGCGGUAA
rnacentral:rRNA from 1 species